AGCGAACGCUGGCGGCAGGCCUAACACAUGCAAGUCGAACGAAGAUGAGGUGCUUGCACCUUAUCUUAGCGGCGGACGGGUGAGUAAUGCUUAGGAAUCUGCCUAUUAGUGGGGGACAACAUUCCGAAAGGAAUGCUAAUACCGCAUACGUCCUACGGGAGAAAGCAGGGGAUCUUCGGACCUUGCGCUAAUAGAUGAGCCUAAGUCGGAUUAGCUAGUUGGUGGGGUAAAGGCCUACCAAGGCGACGAUCUGUAGCGGGUCUGAGAGGAUGAUCCGCCACACUGGGACUGAGACACGGCCCAGACUCCUACGGGAGGCAGCAGUGGGGAAUAUUGGACAAUGGGGGGAACCCUGAUCCAGCCAUGCCGCGUGUGUGAAGAAGGCCUUAUGGUUGUAAAGCACUUUAAGCGAGGAGGAGGCUACUGAGACUAAUACUCUUGGAUAGUGGACGUUACUCGCAGAAUAAGCACCGGCUAACUCUGUGCCAGCCGCCGCGGUAAUAC
rnacentral:rRNA from 1 species